rnacentral:rRNA from 1 species
AUGAAGAACCUUAGCAUCAACAACUUUGCCUAUUUAAUGCCAAUCAAAAUUGGCACCCCAGCCAUAUGGAAUUUGGUGGCCAUUGACACUGGGUCCACACUCUCGUUUGUCCAGUGCCUCCCAUGCACAGUGAAUUGCCACAAGCAAGAUGUGGGCGCUGGCCAAUUAUUUGACCCCAGCAAAUCCAGCACAAUUGGGCGUGUUGGGUGCUCAAAUGUGGUCUGCCGUGCUAUCCAAGAGAGCCUGCCUGUUCCCACCAAAGCAUGCAUGGAGAGAGAGGACAGUUGCCUGUAUUCCAUGAGCUAUGGAAGAGAGUCUUCAUACUCUGUUGGCAAGAUAGUAACUGAUAGACUGACCCUUGGGCCCAAUGAUGAAGCAGUUAUCGCUGGGUUUGUUUUCGGCUGCAGCUUAGGCACCAAUUACAACAAGCUUGAAGCCGGAAUCAUGGGGUUUGGCGCAGAGGCCUUCUCCUUCUUCAUGCAAGUGUCCCACUUCGUUGGAUACGAGGCUUUCAGCUACUGUUUCUCAAGUGACAGGCAGAAGCAAGGGUAUUUGUCAAUUGGAAACUAUAGCCGCACCAGCUCUUCCUAUUCAACACCAAUGUUCGUGGCGACGCCCCGGCCGGUGUUUUCUAAACUGCCCAGAUCCAUGUACUCUUUGCAGCUGAAUUCAUUGUCCGUCAACGGAAUCACCCUGCACUCAGACCCCUACGAGAUGACCGUUGACAGUGGGACAGAGAUGACCUUGUUGCUGUCGGAUACGUUCGAUGAGCUAGACAAUGCAGUGACCCAAGCCGUGGAGCCUCUUGGGUAUAUGCGGACCCGUUCUACCAUCUGGAGCGACAAUCAUAUUUGCUUCGAGGACAAGGAUUUCACACCUUUCAAGAAUUGGUCCGCCCUGCCGGUGGUGGAGCUGUUAUUUGGAUCAGGCGCAAAGCUAAGGGUGCCGCCCCAAAGCGCCUUCUACAAUGACGGGGGUCACGGCCUGUGCAUGUACUUUGUGCGGGAUGCAUUUUUUGUCAAGGGCAUGCAGAUUCUGGGGAACACGGUAACGCAAUCGAUUGGGAUCACGUUCGACAUCCAAAGCGAACAAUUUGUGUUUCGGGAAGGAGAGUGCUGA